UAGCCUUAACUUUCUGCAGAAAUAAACUUUUAAACUUUUAAGUGUGUGUGUCGAUUGGCGUUUUACACCACCCAGACAAGAACCAGUCUAUUUUGGUAUAUCAGAUUGGUGCAUUGGCCUGGAAAGGGGGGAGCACCAGCCUCCCAGUCUGGGAGCAGAGGGCUGACAAAGGAUCCACCAGACUCCGGACCAGCGUGCAUCAGUCAGUUUUACCGAGGAAUGGACUUUCUUGCGGGGUUGUGACCGGUGGAGAGGAGGGCCCAGGAGCGUGGCAAGUCCCAAUAAGCCGAGCAAGAGAUUAUCACAGACGGAUCGUCCUUCAUGGGUAUUGCUAGUGCACAAGAUUGUGUGAAUGACGUCCCUUUCCCUCAUUGAGAACACAAGCACUGAACCAAGUGCCCUGACAGGAGUCUUAAGCAGUGUCCUUCCAAGGUUCUGUUAGUGAUCCAAACAGUAGUCAAGUGCAGGGGAAGGAGUACCUGGAUCCCUGCAUCCCAUUGCCGGCAGGUGACCCCAAGGGAGUCUCCAGAGGACAUCAACCCUGACCCAGAAGAAGGAACUGCUGCAGGCCUGCUGGGAAGUGGCCUUUCAAGUCCUUUCAACAAACUUUACCUCCCUAAAAGUAGCAGGGCAGAAGAGCUGAAUCCACCACCCGAGAGUUCGAUUCCCUGAAAAGGCGAAGAGGAACCAGAGACAGGGGACGUCCAGGGUAACCUAGACCCUGCAGCAGAGGAACCCCCACCUCUGUGGGAAACUGAACCCUUAGAUGGUUUAAAGACCUUGUUUAAAAGACCCAAGAACUGCGACACGUCAAGGUGGUAACUGUGAUCAUGCAUCUGUUGUAUAUUGCAGUGUGUGUGAUAAUUCUGCCCAGGGAAGUGCAAGGGGGUGGGAGUGGAAUGAGCUUGUGAAAUUAUACCAGUCAAUCCUCAAAGAUACAGCUUGGAACCAGUCGUGUUGGAUAUGCUCUUUGACAGCCUCCCACAGCAAUCAGGGACUUCCUAAGGUCCCAAUGCCCCUCAACUGGAAGGGUUGGGUGUCCACCCCAACGAAAAGACUACACAGCCAACAUAACUCAAAGGAGUUGGAUGAGACACAGUAUGAGUUAUGGAAGGACACGUGGGGAGCCGACUUAUGUUUCAGCUUUGCAAAAGGCCCCCUCCAAUUGGGCCAUUGGCCACAAUGUAACCUAACUCUAAUGUAUAGCCAGAAGAUGAAGGGGUGGACAUUGGGGAACACCAGUACUCCACUAUCUGAGGACAGCACCCAACUAUCCGAUAGGCUGGACAUGCCAGUGCAAGACACCAGCCUAAUCAGAGUCACUCUACUCGAACUCACGGCCUUCCUAAAAGAUCCGAAUAUGCCGGCCUCUCAAGUUCCUGGCCUUUACUGGUUUUGCGGAACUCAAGGAUAUAAGCUUCUGCCAGCCAACAGUACCGGCACGUGCACCUUAGGUUGGAUCUGCCCGGAGGGGCAUCCACGCAUUGCCCAUCUCUGCCAUCAGGCAUUCUAAAAACCUCAACCAUCCUAACCCUCACUUUAAGUGGGCGGCUGAUUCUGGGCUAACCUACUCGGUGGAAACAGGAGUCCUCCUCGGGGGUCUGUUUCCCUUGUGGGGAGUAGCCAAAAACUAUGAAGAUUUGCGCACACACUGGGCAACUUCGUUAGGAAUGCAUCGGAAGCCCUAGAGAGAUUAGCCAACGAAACGAUCACUCUCCCCUCUGCCCUACUAACGGAGGAGGAGGCCUCACUCCAGAAGGUCGUAUUGCAGAAUAGGCUGGCUCUAGACUCUGAUUUGUUGAGCCAUGGUGGAGUAGUAUGCAAAUAUCUGAACCAAACUUGUUGUAUGUAUGUAGAUGAAACCGGUCAAAUUGAAACCUCUCAAGGGAAGCUGCACAGCAUUGUUGAAGAGCUCAGAUGAGACCGAGGAACCUUGGAUGAAGCCCUAAAUUCAUCCAGUGGGCUAUGGCAUAACUUAUGGUCAUGGCUCCCGCAGGAGGAAUGGUGGACCGGUAUAGUUAAGGGAAUCUUAUCUGCUAUAGCUAUUGGUAUUGCUCUUUGUUGCCUUACAGGAUGUUUCCCUUCACUUGCUCAAAUGUUGGUUGGAUUGUGCAAGCCAAAGGUAGGGCAAAGAAAGAUGUAUAUGGCUUUUAAAAGGUUGGAGGAGGCGACUUCUUCCUAAACGGAAGUCUUGCUCCAAAGGGGGGACUGAUAUGUGAGCCAAAGUGGAACCAUUUCGAACCUAUAGUUGCUUACCUCCUGUUGGUCAAGCCAAGUAUUAGAAUCAAACUAGAGGGGCCCCAUAUGGGCCUCUCACUGAUCUCUAUCUCUCUUUUCACACUUUGGCUUCCCCUGUUGCAAUUUCCUGACUUGCAAAUUGUUGCUUUCACACUUCCAAGGCACAGGCCUUAGCCUUGCAGGUAAGCAGAGGCACAGAGAGGCCCCUCGUUGAAGGAAAAGACAAAAGAGAACAGAACAAGACUGUAAAAUGCAGAUUUUGUUUAUUGUUUGAUGUGAAGAAGAGACCAAAAUGCAUACAUGCUAUCUUGCAGGUAAUAGAAAGGAGUGGACUCAAUGACCAUGCAAUUGUAAGUGUAUAAAUACUUAUUUGUAACAAAGGGGCUUUGCUCUCGAUUUGGGUGGGACCUCAAAAGCCUUACUUUCUGCAGAAAUAAACUGUUAAGCUUUACCUCUGGUUGUGUGUUAAUUGGUGUCAACACCACCCAGACAAGAACCAGCUCCUUUCUGGUA